GAGAAGCCGCGCCGUCUCGCGCUGUCAAAAGAGCUGACGCAAAUCGUUCAUUUUCAAACUUCAACAGCUGAAAAACACCCACUUUUAGCCCUUGGUUUGUUCUAAUGGGUGGAUUGUGUGCAAUCGCUGUAAUAUUUUAUUUUUAUAAGGUCUUAAACAAGAAUAAAUUCGUUUCUUGUGAGCUCGUAGUGCGAGUGCAGGAGAAGCCGCGCCGUCUCGCGCUGUCAAAAGAGCUGACGCAAAUCGUUCAUUUUCAAACUUCAACAGCUGAAAAACACCCACUUUUAGCUCUUGGUUUGUUCUAAUGGGUGGAUUGUGUGCAAUCGCUGUAAUAUUUUAUUUUUAUAAGGUCUUAAACAGGAAUAAAUUCGUUUGUUGUGAGCUCGCUGUGCGACUGCACGAGAAGCCGCGCCGUCUCG
ensembl:lncRNA